ensembl:lncRNA
AAAAAUUCAUCUGGUUCUAUGCUGAAUGUGGACAAAUCCUUUUAGUCCUGACUUUUCAGACCAGAGAAAUCUAUUCUACUCUAUUUGUCUCUCUACAUUCCUUAUUUCCUUUCUGUUAGUUAUAUACUGGAAUUUAUGGACCUAUCUGUGUAUCUUUUGGCUUUCCCUGAUACUUUCUCCAUCUAUACUUCCAGGUUGAGUAAUGGGAGACUCACCUUGCCAUCAUCCUGCUCAAAGCUUUCCUCUUCAGCUGUAUCCCUCUAUAUUCAAUAGCCUGUGUUUUUUUUGUUUGUAAAUUUAAUGGCUAUCAUAUCCUCUUCUGUGCCCUUGGGAUAUUAAUACACUUUACUUAUUGUCUUCUUCUGUGGAUUUUUUAUUUUUGAAGUUGUUUUGGCUUUUCAUAUUAUUGGCUUUCUUGAAAUAUUUUGGUGAUUCAUAGUUGUAAUUUGUUUAGUUGCUUAUUUAGUUGCUCAUUUUUGUAUUUGAGAUCCUCUUUUUGUGGAAGUUCUAUUUAUCAAAGCCUGUGAUGGGCAGGGUGGGCUGUGCUGCCAGGUGAGGAUAUGCCAAUAUUUUGAUUUUGGGUAAGCAAGUACCUGGGGCGCACUGCCCUACUUCUCUAGCUCCAGUGGCUUCACUCAUGGUUAUGUUAUAGGCUGGGUAUAGACAAUCCUGCUGCCUGCUCCCUGGCCCAUGGUUGGGCGAUGGGACUUGCUUAGCUAUUCUGAAUCAGCUCCCUACCGAAUCACCUGCACAGUACCCAUGGGCAUCUUCCUGCUCUUUGCAACUGUUGAUUCUGACUUCCAACCCAUACCUCUGUUUGCAGUAGUCUUUACUUGUUUUCUUGUGAUUUCCUCUUAUUUGCCCAUAGCUUUGAUCUCACCUGCUUUCUAUCUUUCUGGCAUUCCUCAAAAUUUUUAUUCCAUUGCUAGCCCUCUCAUUUUUCAGUGCUGUAGCAUAUUUAUUUUUCUUCUGCUUUAGCACCUUAUGGGAUUUAGGGUUGAGAGAGAAAGAUGCUUCUGUUGCAUCUGCCAUUUUGAUCCAAUCUAAUACCACUUUAAGCAAACAGAACAAAAACUCUUUCAUAGCCUUUGUUCCAAUUAAUUUCCUUGAACAGAACUAGUGUUGUAGUGGCUCCUGGGAUUGUCCUGUAGUUACAAAAUGUGCUGUACUACUAGCUAUUCACAGAAAGUAUUGUUUACAAGCAAUUACUGAAAUAGCAGCUCUUUUCACUGCUUCCUAACAUGCACAAUUUUGUGAUGAACUUAUCAAUACUAAUGAGCAAUUCCUAGCAGUGAAUAAUCUUAAGGGUCAUAAAAUAGGUCAGUGAUAACCAGUUUUAUUUGCAUUGAAAGAUUAGGGAUAAUAGAGCUAUCUAAAAACUACUCAGUUGGUCAGCAUCAUGGCAGUGUAAGAUGUUCCUCCUUUUUAAACAACAAAUUAGACAUCCAUCUACAAACAAAAGUGCUGUUGUGGGAAUGAGCAUCAUAUGCCAAGGGACCCAGGAGGAGUCUUGCCUACCUGUGCAUCCAGUAAUAGGCAGACAGACCUUGGUACAGGCUGUGGAACCAGUGAAACUGCCCCAAACUCUCUUGCCGUGGUCGGGAAAAAGCCUGGAGAGUGUGGACCUGAGCAGAUACACAUGGAUAAGAGAGAAUUUGCAGAAAUCCAGGCUUCCCAAGGGGAGUUUCCAGCAUACCAUCAGAGGAGAAGAAAAAAAACACAAGAUUGGCUGCACUGCAGAUGGUAAGAGGAACUUUCCCAGGGCUGUCCCCGCACCGCCACAGCAAUACUCAGGGAUGAACUAUCCAGCAGUGGCAAUCACUUCCAUGGGGGAAAGGAGAGUAGUGAGUGAGUGCCUGGCUAUCCCAUUACACAGCUGGAGAAUCCCAUUUCUCUCCAGCAACACCCAGAAUACUGAGACAGGACCCCAUGACUUGGAGAGAGACUGGGAAAGAGGCAGAUAAGAAUAUUAAAGGAAGUCUGCCCAUGAGCCUCUGGGAGUGCCUCAUGCAAGGAUCACCCCACUGAGUCCACAGGUACCCCCAACGCCUCAAAUGCUAAACCCACACCUCCCUUCACUCUGUGGCCAGCUCCUUACAGUCAUUCUGAGUGCAGUUGCAAGAGC